UUUUUUUUUGUUUUUUUUUUUAAAGUGAAUAUACAAUUUAUUUAACAUUCAAACUUCAUUAAGACAUGUGCAAUAUGGCAAUUUUAAUUACUGGGGGUUUAACCCUACCUAGGAUAUGAUUGCUUGCUGGGGCUUAGCAACAGGGUCCAGUUCACACUUAGCACUAAUUAAAUACUUUAUUGAAUAAAUACAAUACCAAACAAAAUGCAUUCAAAUGCUUUCUAAAAAAAAAAUCAAUUUUAAAGGCCUUUCUAUUCAGGCUAAUGACAAACACAAUAAAGGCAGAUAUGCUAGUUUAACAUAAUUGGCUGAUUUUAUACAGCACUUAUAUCUUUUAGUCCACAAGUAUAUUAUUAAAUGAUAGAGAACAUCUAAUACAACCAUUUCUACAGAACUAGGAAAUAAAUUUCUAAGAAAGAAAGAUUUUACAGACCCCAUCUUUUAUACCCAACCCAACAGUCUAACUCUAAAGAGGAUAAAGCCAAUGCCUUUCUCCUCAUAAGAGCUCACGACUAAAUCGGAAGAUCACAC